rnacentral:rRNA from 1 species
GACGGAAGGUGCAAGCGUUGCUCGGAAUCACUGGGCGUAAAGAGCGUGUAGGCGGCCCGGUAAGUCCGCUGUGAAAGUCCAGGGCUCAACCCUGGGAUGCCGGUGGAUACUGUCGGGCUCGAGUCCGGAAGAGGAGUGUGGAAUUCCUGGUGUAGCGGUGAAAUGCGCAGAUAUCAGGAGGAACACCGGUGGCGAAGGCGGGUCUCUGGGCCGAUACUGACGCUGAGGAGCGAAAGCGUGGGGAGCGAACAGG